rnacentral:rRNA from 1 species
GAUGAACGCUGGCGGCGUGCUUAACACAUGCAAGUCGAACGAAACACCUUAUUUGAUUUUCUUCGGAACUGAAGAUUUGGUGAUUGAGUGGCGGACGGGUGAGUAACGCGUGGGUAACCUGCCCUGUACAGGGGGAUAACAGUCAGAAAUGACUGCUAAUACCGCAUAAGACCACAGCACCACAUGGUGCAGGGGUAAAAACUCCGGUGGUACAGGAUGGACCCGCGUCUGAUUAGCUGGUUGGUGAGGUAACGGCUCACCAAGGCGACGAUCAGUAGCCGGCUUGAGAGAGUGAACGGCCACAUUGGGACUGAGACACGGCCCAAACUCCUACGGGAGGCAGCAGUGGGGAAUAUUGCACAAUGGGGGAAACCCUGAUGCAGCGACGCCGCGUGAGUGAAGAAGUAUCUCGGUAUGUAAAGCUCUAUCAGCAGGGAAGAAAAUGACGGUACCUGACU